rnacentral:rRNA from 1 species
CACAAACUAGAUCAAGUUAAGAUUAAUACAGUAAAAAAGUGGUAAAAGGCCUACUGGUGUCCCAUAGGACACCGGCAUUACAAGAAAAAUUACGUUUUCUAUAGAGGUGGAAUUUGUGUAGAAAAACUAAAUUACUGUUUUCUUGCCCACUUGAAGCCACGAAAUCUCAGUUAAAAACCGGGAUUAGAUACCCCGUUAUUUGAGAUGUAAAUUUUGAUUUUUUUUAGAAAAUUUACUUGAGCAUUACGGGCCCUAUAAAUCUACACUUAUAGGAACAGCCUAAAACUCAAAAGACUUGGCGGUGCCUUAAAUCCUUCCAGGGGAACCUGUCCUGUAAUUGAUAGUCCACAAUUUACCUUUCCUUUUUUUGAAUUUAUACCAGUCUGUAUACCGUCGUCGUCAGAUUACCUCUAAGAGAAAAAGUUAUCGACUAAAAAAGCUUUUCUUUUCAUGCUAUUACUAGCUUUGAUAAUGGAAUGUCCUCUAAACGUCAGAUCAAGGUGCAGCCUACGAAAAGGAAGAGAUGGGUUACAAUGAAUAAUUAUUAUACGAAUUUCUUUUUGCAAAAUAAGUCUAAAGGAGGACUUGGAAGUAAUUAUUAGAGAAAUAGAGAGUCUCGGUGAAGAUGGCUCUAAGGCGUGU